rnacentral:rRNA from 1 species
AGCGCAGGCGGGAAACUAAGCGGAUCUUAAAAGUGCGGGGCUCAACCCCGUGAUGGGGUCCGAACUGGUUUUCUUGAGUGCAGGAGAGGAAAGCGGAAUUCCCAGUGUAGCGGUGAAAUGCGUAGAUAUUGGGAAGAACACCAGUGGCGAAGGCGGCUUUCUGGACUGUAACUGACGCUGAGGCUCGAAAGCUAGGGUAGGCGAACG